AUUAUUGGAUAGUCGACUUAGAUGUUGUCAUUGCUUGCGUCACUUAAACCUUUUGUGAAUUGUUGACCGACUUUAGACCAUCUCCAUUGGGAAAGAGAGUGUAGAAAGUUUCUUACUUGAGAAACUUUGAGAUACUUUACAACCCAUCAUGACAAUUCUCAUCUUACUAUUGGUUCAAUUUUUUAACAAAAAUAC
rnacentral:sRNA from 1 species